AGCUCCUCCCUAGCCCCGCGCGCGGCGGGAGCACCUGGGGAGAAGAGUCCUGGCGUCGCCUGCUACCAGCGCCGCGCUCCUCUGAACAAACACUGCCGGAGCCCUCCGUGAGCCGGCUAUUCCAGCCCAGCCCCGCGUCCGCCCGUCCCGCAGCAGGCGCGGUGAAUCGUGCGCGCUGGCGGACGAGGCGGGCUCGGCAGGACGCUGCUGUGCCGUCCCGUGUGGAUUUGGCUCCAGGUCGUCCUGAGGAUGCCGCGCAGAAGCCGUGUGGGCCUCGGGACGCAGGCCUGCGUGGCUGCAGCGCACCAGGGGAGGCUCCGGGGAUCCCGAGCUGGCGCGGACUCGCGAGACCCCCUGGCCGCUCUGCGGGGAGCGCUGGGGAGGCGUCCCGAGCGGGCGCCAGAGACCCGCGGGCUCCCCGUGCAGGGGCUGCCUGGGCUGGGGCCCGGGUGGGUCUGCGCAGGUGUGGGAAGUGCCGGCUCCCGGUAGAUGCUGAAGGCGGAGUUGCCAGGAUUUGCUGCGGACUUUUGGAGAAAUGAGGCGGGGAAGGACGAGCUUGAGAACCGACGCCGGAGAGACGGGGAAGACGGGGGAGGCCUGAGCGCGGGCUGGCAUGGCUGGGGAGGUUGUGCACUGCCCAAGAAUGCUCACUGAGGAGCGUGUUCACGUCUCAUCGUGGGUGUCUGUGUUUAUUAUGACAACUACCAGCAGCCCCCGAGGAGCAGCGACAGAUGGAGGUCGGGGGCUCUAAGCUGAACACAGGCGGUCGGUCCUCCUUCCCAGGAGCCUCAGCGUGUGUGUCCGCAGGUGCCCCUUUAUCUAGCGCCCUUGGGGGAAUGGGACGUGUCAGAGGAGAUGCAGUGGGCAGAGGCUGCACUGGAUGAAGAGAACUAUGUGGGAAUCGCAUGUGGGGUGUGACUGGGGACCAGUGCCUGAACUCUGGGACUCCAACUUGAAGAGGUUUGGAAUCUGCAAAGGAGACUAGGAAGGGGCACAGGGGGUGCUAGGGGUGGGGGCCGGAGGACAAACCAGGAGAGGGGCUUCUGGAAGCCAGAGAGGGCGUGCACACACAGGCGGGGGAGGGAGCCUGGGUGCAGCAGGGUGGGCCACUGCGACUCACCGAGGGCCAGCGGCGCUGGGGCCAGGGGCUGGAGUUUGGAGAGUGAGCAGAGAGCACGCAGGGGCUGUGAACACCAACUUCUCUUUCAGGUCAAUUUGCUGCAAAGGGGAAGGUAAAGGUGGAGGUAACUAAGGAGCAGGGCAAGAGAGGGGUGUGGUUUUCUGUAGGGUCCAGCCCUACGGGGGCUUAGCAGGUGUCCUCCCCGUGUGCAGAGACCAGAGAUUGUAAUAAAGACACGAGAUAAAGAGCAGCUGGGCCCCGGGGGACCACUACCAUCAAGACGUGGAGACCGGUAGUGGCCCUGAGCGCCUAGGUGCGCUGAUAUUUAUUGCAUACAAGACAAGGGGGCAGGGUAAGGAGGGUGAAUCUUCUAAGUGAUAAAGUGAAGCAAGUCACGUGAUCAUAGGACAGGGGGCCCUUCCCUCUUAGGCAGCCGAAGCAAAGAGAGAAGGCAGCAUAUGUCAGCAUUUUCUUCUCUGCACUUAGAAGAACGAUCAAAGACUUUAAGACUUUCACUAUUUCUUCUACCGCUAUCUACUACGAACUUCAAAGAGGAGCCAGGAGUACGGGAGGAGCAUGAAAGUGGAUAAGGAGUGUGAUCAUUCAAGCACCACAGGGAGGGGGUUAGGCCUCCGGAUGACUGCAGGCCAGGCCUGGAGAAUAUCCAGCCUCCCACAAGAAGCUGGUGGAGCAGAGUGUUCCCUGACUCCUCCAAGGAAAGGAGACUCCCUUUCACGGUCGGCUAAGUAACGGGUGCCUUCCCAGGCACUGGCGUUACCGCUUGACCAAGGAGCCCUCAAGCGGCCCUUAUGUUGGCGUGACAGAGGGCUCACCUCUUGCCUUCUAGGUCACUUCUCACAACGUCCCUUCAGCACCUGACCCUAUACCCGCCGGUUAUUCCUAGGUUGUAUUAGUAAUGCCACAAAGAGUAAUAUUAAAAGCUAAUGACUAAUAUUUA